AGAGUUUGAUUCUGGCUCAGGAUGAACGCUGGCGGCGUGCUUAACACAUGCAAGUCGAACGAGGGCGAUAGCAAUAUUGCCCGAGUGGCGGACGGGUGAGUAACGCGUGAACAAUCUGCCUGUAUCAGGGGAAUAACACUAAGAAAUUGGUGCUAAUACCGCAUAAGACCACGGAGAGGCAUCUCCCCGGGGUAAAAGAAUAAUCGGAUACAGAUGAGUUCGCGUCCCAUUAGGUAGUUGGUGAGGUAACGGCCCACCAAGCCGACGAUGGGUAGCCGACCUGAGAGGGUGAUCGGCCACAUUGGAACUGAGACACGGUCCAGACUCCUACGGGAGGCAGCAGUGGGGAAUAUUGGGCAAUGGAGGGAACUCUGACCCAGCAACGCCGCGUGAGUGAAGAAGGUUUUCGGAUUGUAAAACUCUUUAAGCGGGGACGAAGAAAGUGACUGUACCCGCAGAAUAAGCAUCGGCUAACUACGUGCCAGCAGCCGCGGUAAUACGUAGGAUGCAAGCGUUAUCCGGAAUGACUGGGCGUAAAGGGUGCGUAGGUGGUUUGCCAAGUUGGCAGCGUAAUUCCGUGGCUUAACCGCGGGACUACUGCCAAAACUGGUAGGCUUGAGUGCGGCAGGGGUAUGUGGAAUUCCUAGUGUAGCGGUGGAAUGCGUAGAUAUUAGGAGGAACACCGGUGGCGAAAGCGACAUACUGGGCCGUAACUGACACUGAGGCACGAAAGCGUGGGGAGCAAACAGGAUUAGAUACCCUGGUAGUCCACGC
rnacentral:rRNA from 1 species